ensembl:lncRNA
UUCGGAGUUACGCUUACCGUCUGUGCGCCGCGGACUGCAGUGCGAGGAGGACGCGGCGCGUCGUUGCGUUCGCAUUCCACGAACUCCCCAAGACCACCAGACCUCCAACACACCUCAGACAGGGGCUCUGAUCAUCGGCACUACAUCCAUAGGUGGCUCAAUCAGUCUAUCCAUGUCCCACAUGUGUGCUUUUCCAUAAAUUUAUGCGCUAGCGGAGAGAGAAGACCUCUCCAAUCACACCGACGGAUCCAAAUGUCUCCAGAUAAACGCGCAGUGAAGGUCAAUAACAGCGCAUGACGGGUUCUCAGUAUCCUCGCACACACAUAAUCACUCCUUUCCGACAGGUUUCCAUGGUUUGGACCGGCGCCCGUCUACCCAACAUCCCGACGCAUGUUUAUAUCCAGGGAAAGUGACUCUCCACACGCACGUCCGUCAUCCGCGACCCAAGACAGACUCUUCAAUUUGAGACAAAGUGAGUGAAAGAGUUUCAGGAGGGUGCGGAAUGUCUCGGAGAGGUUUUACCAGGAGAGAGAGAAACAUG